rnacentral:rRNA from 1 species
UGACCGCUGGCGGCGUGCCUCAUACAUGCACGUCGAGCGAACAGACGAGGAGCUUGCUCCUCUGACGUUAGCGGCGGACGGGUGAGUAACACGUGGAUAACCUACCUAUAAGACUGGGAUAACUUCGGGAAACCGGAGCUAAUACCGGAUAAUAUAUUGAACCGCAUGGUUCAAUAGUGAAAGACGGUUUUGCUGUCACUUAUAGAUGGAUCCGCGCCGCAUUAGCUAGUUGGUAAGGUAACGGCUUACCAAGGCAACGAUGCGUAGCCGACCUGAGAGGGUGAUCGGCCACACUGGAACUGAGACACGGUCCAGACUCCUACGGGAGGCAGCAGUAGGGAAUCUUCCGCAAUGGGCGAAAGCUUGACGGAGCAACGCCGCGUGAGUGAUGAAGGUCUUCGGAUCGUAAAACUCUGUUAUUAGGGAAGAUCAAAUGUGUAAGUAACUAUGCACGUCUUGACGGUACCUAAUCAGAAAGCCACGGCUAACUACGUG